GUUCCAAUUGCUUUACACGUGUUUUAUUUUUUGGGUCUGGACUUGGCAGUACGUGAUUCUCAGCAUAGGCAUUUCUAGUUUGCCUCUCUGCUUUGUGCUUUUUAUUACUUUACUUUUGGGCUUACCUUGGGCAGUACAUGGGCUGCCAAUUAUUCGGCUCAUUUUGAUUUAAGCUGAAAAAUUAUUUCCACCCGCUUAUUUUAUUUGCAUUACGUGCUUGGGCAUAUUUUAGUAGACUGUUCACUAUUGAAAAUACUAUUGUCCGAUUUAAUAGAAAGAAUUUUUCUACAUAGAAAUUUAAAAUUAAAAUAUUCUUGAAAGGAAAAGAAUUAUCAAAUCAUCUUGAUAAUUCUGUUCAAAUUCCCACUGAAGAAAAAACAUUUGCUCAAUGGGAGGUUAAUGAUGCUAAGGUAAUUUCUUGGCUACUGGGGACUAUUGAAUCUCAUAUUGUGACCAAUCUUCGUUGUUUUACUACAGCUCAGACUAUGUGAGAUUAUCUUCACCGUAUUUACCACUAGGAUCAUAGUGCUUGAAAGUUUCAAUUAGAAUUGGAAAUUAGUAAUUAUAGUCAAGGAAACUUACCUAUCGCCCAAUUUUAUUCUGAUUUCAUUAAUCUUUGAGCGAGUACUCUGUCAUUGCUUAUGCUAAGGUUCCCACUGAGCCCCUCACAACUUUUCAAACAAUUGAUGUUGACAACCAACGUAAUCAAUUUUUAAUAAAGUUUCAAUCCGAAUUUGAGCACGUUCGUGCUGGUUUAUUGAACCAUGAUCCAGUUCUUUCUUUGGAUUUUUGUUUGGGAGAAUUGUUACGUGAAGAACAGCGGUUAUCCACUCAGAUAAGUAUGACUUCUGAUAAAGUCUUUUCUGAGACUGUGAAUGUAGCCUAUGUAGCACAAGGACGAGGGAGGAAUAAGUUGCAAUGUUUCAGUUGCAAGGAAUUUGGUCAUAUUGCUCACAACUGUUCUAAGAAAAUUUGUAACUACUGCAAGAAAGAAUGCCAUAUCAUUAAGGACUGUCGAAUACGGCCUCAGAAUCGCCAAUCCCAAGCUUUUCAGGCUGCUGUUCAGUCCUCUGCUUCUUCUUCUGUGUCGUUUGCUGUAAACUCUGAUUCAUCUAUUCUCACAACAAAAAUGGUCCAAUAGAUGAUUGUGUCUGCUUUUACGGCCUUAGGCUUGCAAGGAUCAGGUGUCGGGGAAGGUGAUCACGAAAGGUCCUAAAGUAGGACGUUUAGUUCCCUUAUAGUUUUGUAUUCCUAUUGUUGUUUCUCUUGCCUGUACAACUACUGCCAAUACUCAUGAAAUCUGGCAUAAGAAAUUAGGUCAUCCUAAUUCUGUUGUAUUGACUCGUCUUAUGAGACAUGGAUUUUUGGACAAUAAAGACUCAUUUUCUUCUUUUCCUGUAUCUUUUGAUUGUGCCAUUUGUUGUCUUGGUAAAAGUAAAACUUUACUUUUUCCUACGUAUGGUAGUCGUGCUUCUCACUGUUUUGAGAUUGUGCAUACUGACGUUUGGGGUGUGAUUUUUGUUAUUUCUCAUGGUUAGUAUCAUUAUUUUGUGACAUUUAUCAAUGAUUAUAGUCGAUUCACCUGGAUAUAUUUUCUCUGUUCUAAAGCUGAUGUAUUUUCUAUCUUUAAAAAAUUUGUUGUGCUUGUCGAGACAUUGUUUAGUACGUGUAUCAAAACUUUAUGUUCCGACUCAGGAGGGGAGUACAUGUCUUAUUCUUUUCAAACUUUUCUUCAGCAAAAGGGGAUCAUUUCCCAAAGUUCUUGUCCUUAUACUCCUCAACAAAAUGGAGUUACUGAGCGUAAGAAUCGUCAUCUUUUAGAUGUUGUCCGUACUCUAUUGAUUGAUUCUUCUGUACCUUCUAAGUUCUGGGUAGAAGCUCUAUCUACUGCUGUAUAUUUGAUCAAGCAUUUGUCUACUACCACUCUAGAUUUUGAUUCACCCUAUUUUCGUUUAUUUAACAUAUCUCCUGAGUAUCAAUCCAUUCAUACUUUUGGGUGUCUUUGUUUUGUUCAUCUGCCACCUGUUGAGCGUCACAAACUUGCUACACAAUCUGUCACGUGUGCCUUUAUGGGAUAUAGUCCUACUCAGAAAGGAUUUGUCUGUUAUGAUGUUCAUGCAAACAAAUUCUGCAUCUCACGAAAUGUGAUUUUCUUUGAUAAUCAAAAUUUUUUUCAGUCUCAGGUUAUUUCUGAUUUUCCUAUUACUAUUCUUCCUGUUUUUGAUGAUGUGUCUUUUUCUAUUGAGCAAUUUAAACCAGGUUUGGUAUACCAUCGAUGUCAUUCCCCUGUUUCAAUGUCCCUUCUAGAUACUAUUCUGUCAUCUGAUUUUGCGGCUCCUAUACCUCAGCACUCCACCCGCGAUACACAUCCACUGGAUAGGUAUGGUUUUCCUCAUACUUCGCUAACUGCCACUCUUGACACUAUUUCUGUUCCUUACUCAUAUACCCAUGCAGCCAUCCAAGCAUGUUGGCAACAGGCCAUGUAAGAAGAAAUCCAAGCUCUUCAAGAAAAUCACACUUGGGAUCUUGUGACCUGUCCAUCUUGUGUCAAACCUAUUGGUUGUAAAUGGGUGUACUCAGUCAAGUUUCGGUCUGAUGGGUCACUAGACAGAUAUAAGGCUAGUCUCGUAGUCCUUAGGAAUCGAUAAGAGUAUGGUAUUGAUUAUGAAGAGACCUUUGCACCUGUUGCCAAAAUGACUACUGUAAGAACUAUUUUGGCACUUGCUGCAUCGCAGGGAUGGUCUCUUCGGCAGAUGGAUGUGAAGAAUGAUUUUAUGCAUAGGGACUUGAAGGAAGAAAUCUAUAUGUCUCCACCUUCUGGCAUGUUUGCUACACCUUCCUCAGAGGUUUGUCGGCUACGUUGAUCUUUGUAUGGACUGAAACAGGCUCCACGUGCAUGGUUUGAUAAAUUUCGUUCUACCCUGCUUGCUUUUCAUUUUACUCAGAGUCUGUUUGAUUUCUCUCUCUUUUUGCGCAAGACAUCUACAGGAAUUGUGUUACUUCUGGUAUAUGUUGAUGACAUUGUGAUUACUGGAUCUGAUAAUGAGUUAAUUGAGCAAUUACAACAGCAUCUCCAUGCCUCUUUUCACAUGAAAGAUCUUGGUCCUCUACAGUACUUUCUUAGUCUUGAGGUGCAGCUUACUCCGAUUGGUACGUUGUUACACCAGCAUAAAUACACACAAGAAGUGAUUUCACUAGCUGGUCUCCAAUCGGGUAACUCUGUUCUUACUCCCAUGGAAGUGAAUCUUAAGUUUCGUCAGGAGGAAGGCGAGCUCUUAUCGGAUCCAUCCUUAUAUCGACAGCUUGUUGGGAGUUUGAACUACUUGACGAUUACUAGUCCUGACAUUUCUUUUGAUGUGCAGCAAAUUAGUCAAUUUAUGCAGGCUCCAAGACAUCUUUAUUUAGUUGUUGUCCGCUGUAUUAUCCACUAUCUGAAGGGAACCUCUACACGCGGGUUGUUCUUUCUUAAAGACUCUCCCUUACAGUUAGUAGGGUAUAGUGAUGCUGAUUGGGCUGGCUGUGCGGAUACUCGUCGCUCUGUUAUUGGCCGGUGCAUGUUUUUAGGGAAUGCACUUAUUUCUUGGAAGAGUAAGAAGCAAGACAGAGUUUCCAAGUCCUCUACUGAGUCAGAAUAUCGUGCUAUGUCUUCAGCAUGCUCAGAGAUCACUUGGCUUCAUGGGUUAUUAGGAGAACUUGGUUUUCCUCAACUGCAUUUCACUCCUCUUCAUGCUGAUGAUACCAGUGCUAUUCAAAUUGCUGCUAAUCUUGUAUUCUAUGAACAUACGAAACAUAUUGAAGUCCAUUGUCAUUCCAUCCGUGAAUCAUUUGACAAAUAUGUUAUUACUCUUCCUCACAUCUCCACCGAAUGUCAAACUGUAGACAUAUUUACGAAAACCCUUUCUCGGCACCGACAUCAGUUCUUGGUUGACAAAUUGAUGUUGGUAGAUCAACAAGCAUCAAUUUGAGGGGGGUGUUACGAGAGAAUUAUGGGAUUAGUUUUGUGGUUGUAAAUUAGGUAGAAUUAGUUGUAAAUUAGGUAGAAUUAGUUGCCGACUGCUGUAAAUAUUUGACAUAUGUGAGCAUCCUAUGUAAAUAUAAUUUCUAUAUAAAUGAAAGAAAUCCGAGAGAAAGGGUAUUCAGACCAAAAAUUAACACACAGGACUGAGGUAUACUCUCCAGGGGUGGGUCUGAAGGGCCUUGUCUUGAAGAGGUUCUCCGACAUUAUUAAAAAAAAAAAAACUGGAUAAUAACUGCGAUAUCUACUCAUGCUUUUUCAUACAUGACACCCCCACCCACCAGAAUCUGUAUCGGGUAGUUCAGGAAACUCCUAGUACAGAAUCAAACCCAGGAUGUCCGAGUCUAUUGCUCAUCUAAGCCCAUCAUUAGACCACUAGGCUGCACCCUAAUGGGUUUUGGUUGAAUUUGAAUGCAUGAAUUGUACAAAAUUUCAAGAGAACGUUGGGACUAUUAAAGGGGGUGGGCUUUUUUGACAUGAUCCUGUGGAAGUUAGGGAAGCAUCUGGUUGGAUUCUUCAAGUGCUGGAAAAUGUGUAGUGGUUUGGGAUUAAGAGGAUGUAUUUGGGGGAUUUUCUAGCAUAACUUUGUGUGCCAAAUUAUGGUUGUAUUUGCUUACCUUUUAGUGGUAGGGUGUAGGGUGUGCUGCCAUUCUUUCAAAACGAGAAAGAUUACCAAGUCCCUGAAUUAAUAGAAAUGUCCUGUUUGGAUUGAUAUAUUCUUUCGGAUAUGAAACUUUUAAACAAGUAAAUUUCUUAAAGAUGUUCACCGUUGGGAUCUCGUGUUACUAAACAUCAACGUAUAUGCCCUUGCCCAACAGAAUUCUUUGCUGAGUGUUGGACUCCAUGUUGCUUGUAAGCAAGCUCUUCCAAGAAUCUUUCACUUAGGACUGUUCAUGCGGGCCGGAUUUGAUCCGGCCCGAACCAGAACCCGGAUAACCGGAGUUCAGGUUAUGGGUUUCGGCCCGAAUUUGAUCCGCGCCGAAACCCACAUUAGACAAACCGGAUUUAUCCGGUCUGGACCCGGAUAUGAUAUCCGGGUUCUGUAUUAGUAACCCGGUAUAACCGGGUUUGUAUAAAACAAAAAAACACUUCCCUUGGUCUCCCCCGAUCCUAAACGGUUGAACCCUCUCUCUCUCUCUCUCUCUCUCUCUCUCUCUCUCUCUCUCUCUCUCUCUCUCUCUCUCUCUCUCUCUCUCUCUCUCUCUCUCACGCAAAACCUAACCAAGAAACCCUAGCCGCCGCUCUGUGGAGAGGAGAGCAGAUAUGGGAAGAAGAUGAAAGUGCUUCUUCCUGUUUCUUUCGAGGCUUGAAGUUCUUCGUCCCUAACAGACCCCUCUCUCUCUCUCUCUCGUCUCUCUCUCUCUCUCUCUCUCUCUCUCUCUCUCUCUCUCUCUCUCUCCUCUCCUCUCUCUCUCUCUCUCUCACUCUCUCUCUCUCUCUCUCUCUCUGUUUUAAGGUUUCAGGAUCGCUGUCAUCCUCGUGACCCCCAAGGUUUGUUCUCUGCGAUUUGGGUCCGUUUUAUUCCUAUUUGGGUCUGUGUAGCUUUGGUUCUCUGUUACGGCUUGUGUAGCUUUUAGUACGAACAAAAAUCGAUAGGAACAUAUAUUCAUCUCAGUAGAUUUGCAUGAUAUGUCUGGCGGUUUAACAGUUGCUGGGUCUGUUUAUAGUGUGUAAGCAAUACAAAUAUAUUCAGUGUAACAAUCAUCAGAUGAUUUGGGUCUGUUUUGAUGAGAAAUCACUCCAAACCCCGAGCUAUUAGAUCUUUGAGGGUUUUUUCCUUUUAUUACUUUGUUGAUUUGGGUCUGUUUUGAUGAGAGUGUUUGAAUGUAAGAAUCAUUGAGGAAUAUUUUUUAGCGUUAGAUUUGUGCUAGCAUAUGUUAUUAAACAGAUCUGGUAAGCCUCUCCAUUUCUCUCUUCAUUUGGGCAUUUUUGUAUUUUUUUUCAAAAAUACAAUUUUUGACUCGUGGAGAUCUGGUAUACAAUUUUGAUGUUCUUGGAAAAUUUGUUUUUGCAUUAUUUCGUGGAGAUCACAUAGUUUAAGAACAUAAUAAUAUGAGUUUUUUUAGGAUGGGAAAGGGUAGUUGAAAUAGCACAGAGGGAGGUUAUUUCAAUGCUAUUUGACUAGAGUUGUUUUCAGGUUGCAGCAAAAACUAGAUUUAAACUAUCAGCCAAAUGAUAAUUUGACUUGGGUCUUCACUAAAUGAUGCUUAUUUGCUGUAAUAUUGAGGGUAAUGCCCUUGAACCUACGAAACAUGCUGAAUAUCAUAUGAUUCUUUGUUGAACUGGAUUGUUUUGUUAGUAUAGAAGUAAUGGGAGUAUUUUGUUGAAAGUAUGAUAUCAGAGUGGUCUAUGGGGGGUUUUGAAAAUCAUAUUUGAUAAAUCUUAACGUUUUUAGAGUAAGUUCAAUAUUAAGAAUAUUAUUUUAUUUGACUAGAAGAAAAAGAAAUUCAAGAAAAUAUAGGUUGUAGUAACUUUGUAUAAAUCUUCAAGCUACCGCAGCUUGAGAAAAGUGUUGACACCUCCUCUGCUUAAAAGGCAAACUCAUGUUAGCAUAACAAGUUUAACAAACAGAGUAAACGAAGUGAAAUAAUAUUGAUAAUGGUCAUCAUUAUUAGUACUUCUUUUAGAAUGAAAUCACUUUGUCCAGCAGAUAAGUUGGUUGGUUUUCUACAGUGUAACAAUUUCAAAAGGUUGGAAGAUCUUUGUUGUUGCUAAUUUUGCUGACAGUAAUAAGUUGUGCAUAAUGAACCCUGCAUGUUAUUCUCUAGACAUCCUUAAUAUCGCUCAACUGUUGAAAUAAUAUCAUUUGUUUCUUGUUGUAGACAGUGAUUUGUAAUAUCAGCUUAUUCUUUCUCAGUUGUGUCCAGUAGCUAAUCUCUCCCUACUCUUCUGAAAUACUGAUGAAGAGUGAGCUGCCCUGUUUCUGUUUACUCCUCAAAUCUGCAUGAUUUAAUCCAAGAACUUCUUGACCCCAUCUGACUUGGCACCCCCUUUUUUUUCUUUUUUUCUUGCAGCCCUCAAACAAUCGAGGAAUUGAGGAAUCAAUUAAGGGUAUUGCAAGCUCAACUUACAGGAGUACAAAAGAGACUGAGGAUCACUUUGAGGCCAAUCUCUUUGAAGUUGUUAUUUGUUGUGGAAAUUAAAUCACUGAUUUUGUAAUUUAUAUAUUGUAAUUUAGUAUUUUGUAAUUUAAUGUAUAAAUAACAAAUAAUAUAAUAUGUAGUGGAUUGUAUUGUAAUGCA